AACGAACGCUGGCGGCAUGCCUAACACAUGCAAGUCGAACGGGAUCCUAGCUUGCUAGGUGAGAGUGGCGGACGGGUGAGUAACACGUGGGAAUCUGCCUUUUGGUUCGGGAUAACCGCGGGAAACUGCGGCUAAUACCGAAUGCCCUCGAGAGAGGAAAGAUUUAUCGCCAGAAGAGGAGCCCGCGUCCGAUUAGGUAGUUGGUGGGGUAAAAGGCCUACCAAGCCGACGAUCGGUAGCUGGUCUGAGAGGAUGAUCAGCCACACUGGGACUGAGAUACGGCCCAGACUCCUACGGGAGGCAGCAGUGGGGAAUAUUGGACAAUGGGGGCAACCCUGAUCCAGCAAUGCCGCGUGAGUGAUGAAGGCCUUAGGUUGUAAAGCUCUUUGCCAGGGAAGAGUGAUGACUGUACCGUGGAGAAUAAGCCCCGGCUAACUUCGUG
rnacentral:rRNA from 1 species